AUUGAACGCUGGCGGCAGGCCUAACACAUGCAAGUCGAGCGGAGCGGCGGACGGGUGAGUAAUGCCUAGGAAUCUGCCUGGUAGUGGGGGACAACGUCCGGAAACGGGCGCUAAUACCGCAUGCUAUCAGAUGAGCCUAGGUCGGAUUAGCUAGUUGGUGGGGUAAAGGCCUACCAAGGCGACGAUCCGGAACUGGUCUGAGAGGAUGAUCAGUCACACUGUAACGUAUAUACGGGCCAGACUCCUACGGGAGUCAGCAGUGGGGAAUAUGGGACAAGGGGCGAAAGCCUGAUCCAGACAUGCCGCGUGUGUGAAGAAGGUCUUCGGAUUGUAAAGCACUUUAAGUUGUGAGGCGGUACCAACAGAAUAAGCACCGGCUAACUUCGUGCCAGCAGCCGCGGUAAUUC
rnacentral:rRNA from 1 species